UACGGGAGGCAGCAGUCGGGAAUAUUGGACAAUGGGGGCAACCCUGAUCCAGCAAUACCGCGUGUGUGAAGAAGGCCUGCGGGUUGUAAAGCACUUUUAGUAGGGAAGAUAAUGACGUUACCUACAGAAAAAGCACCGGCUAACUCCGUGCCAGCAGCCGCGGUAAUACGGAGGGUGCAAGCGUUAAUCGGAAUUACUGGGCGUAAAGCGUGCGUAGGCGGCUCUUUAAGUCAGAUGUGAAAUCCCCGGGCUCAACCUGGGAACUGCAUCUGAUACUGGGGAGCUAGAAUGUGGGAGAGGGAAGUGGAAUUUCCGGUGUAGCGGUGAAAUGCAUAGAGAUCGGAAGGAACAUCAGUGGCGAAGGCGACUUCCUGGACCAACAUUGACGCUGAGGCACGAAAGCGUGGGUAGCAAACAGGAUUAGAUACCCUGGUAGUCCACGCCGUAAACGAUGUCAACUAGCCGUCGGCUCCAACUAAGGGGUCGGUGGUGCAGCUAACGCAUUAAGUUGACCGCCUGGGGAGUACGCGCGCAAGCGUAAAACUCAAAGGAAUUGAC
rnacentral:rRNA from 1 species